rnacentral:rRNA from 1 species
AGCUCCAAUAGCGUAUACUAAAGUUGUUGCAGUUAAAAAGCUCGUAGUUGGAUUUCUGCGCGGGUGGGGCGGCCGGGUGUCUACAAGGCAUCUCGAGCCAGCAACGCCCGCGCAUCCUGCCGCGAUCCACGCUACCAUUCGUUUGGUGGCGUCCUGGGGACCGGCUCGUUUACUUUGAGAAAAUAGAGUGUUCAAAGCAGGCAACUCGCCUUGAAUAAUGUAGCAUGGAAUAAUGAUUAAGGACUUUGGUUCUAUUU